rnacentral:rRNA from 1 species
UACGUAGGUGGCAAGCGUUAUCCGGAAUUACUGGGCGUAAAGCGCACGCAGGUGGUUAUGUAAGUCUGAUGUGAAAGCUCUUGGCUUAACUGAGAGAGGUCGUUGGAAACUGCAUAGCUUGAGGUAAUGAGAGGGGUGUGGAAUUCCCGGUGUAGUGGUGGAAUGCGUAGAUAUCGGGGGGAACACCAGUGGCGAAAGCG